rnacentral:misc_RNA from 1 species
UCUGUGAUUACUUUUCGCGUUGUAUAAUUGAUGAAGGAGUAAUUUGUUGUUAGGAAUUUAAGUAUGGAUUCUGUAAUUGGUGGUAAGUAUAAGCUGGGUCGGAAGAUCGGCAGUGGAUCUUUUGGGGAGCUUUAUUUAGGUGUGAAUAUUCAAAGUGGAGAAGAAGUUGCUGUCAAGCUGGAACCAGUUAAGACGAAGCACCCUCAGCUUCAUUAUGAAUCAAAGCUGUAUAUGCUUCUACAAGGAGGAACGGGAAUUCCCCACCUCAAAUGGUUUGGAGUUGAAGGUGAAUACAGUGCCAUGGUUAUUGAUCUUCUUGGGCCAAGUUUGGAAGACUUGUUUAACUAUUGCAAUAGGAAGUUCACAUUGAAAACAGUCCUAAUGCUGGCAGAUCAGUUGAUUAAUAGGGUUGAAUAUAUGCAUUCAAGAGGAUUUCUUCACCGUGAUAUUAAGCCUGAUAACUUCUUAAUGGGUUUAGGGCGUAAAGCUAAUCAGGUAUAUGCUAUUGACUAUGGUCUUG